UGAGAGGGCCUUGGCCAAUGCUCAAUUGAUUAGACGAGUUCAACACAAUCAAGAUAAGUUAAGAAAAUUUUUGAACUUAGACAGCUAAGACGGCCGUUUCCAAAAGAAGUUAUCGUUUUGCUCGCAAGGCAAUCGGCGAGGCAAUGUAUACGAUAAAAAAACUGCAGGAUACAAGGAAAGGCGUUUAAAAGAAGUGUAAUGACGUCAGGAAGAAGCUUUCUUGUUGAUUUAAGGAGAAAAAUUGGUUAAUCUGCUUUCGAAGAAGUGUUAGCCAUGCAUGUUUGCCAUUGAUGACAUAUAAAGCAUGUACGACGGAAUUUAGGGCACGAAGAAUAUUUCCACCGCCAUUGAAUAUGCUGCGAGCAGAAACUGUGGAUUAUAUCAAAAGGAGGAAAAUUGAAAGCCACUCCAGGUAUGACUGUUACAGUCGUAGUGUCUGUGACAGGAAGAAGUUCUGGUUCAGUAGCAAAGGUGUCUGUACCAUUGCUGGUUGUUUAAUGAUUCAACGAAUGAGAAUUUAUUGUAAUUGUUAAUAUAACCAUCUAGUUAGCAGCAAAAAUCUUGCAUUAUGGCUGAGGGAAAUCGUGUUUUGUUAUAUGAUAGUAAGAAAUAAUUGGAUAUAGUAGUAAAUUAGUAAUAAAUACAAA